GGUUCUGGAAUUUCUCAAUUGUAUAGUCAUAUUGCUCCUAUGUUCCAAUCCAUUAUAAUUUCUAGAAGUGAGGUAGCCCUACAGUUUAAACUAUAUGAGUUAUCAUUGGUUUGGGUUGAUUUUAUUUUUGACUGUUAUGCCGGGGAUGAAAAUGAUGAAUCUGCAACCUGGAGAACUUGUUUUUGUGUUCAUAGGCUAAUAUAUAUCACAUGUUAUUCCAUUGAAACUGAAGGCGUUAAAUGCUUAUUGCUAAUUGCUUGUCGCUAGAUAGUAUUAUCUUGUUUCACACAAAUUAAAAGCCAACCUGGUUUACAUUGGAAGCCUUUGUUGCUCGUUAUAUCAUCAUGUUAUUUGAA
rnacentral:misc_RNA from 1 species